rnacentral:rRNA from 1 species
AUUGAACGCUGGCGGCAUGCUUUACACAUGCAAGUCGAACGGCAGCGCGGGCUUCGGCCUGGCGGCGAGUGGCGAACGGGUGAGUAAUGCAUCGGAACGUGCCCAGUAGUGGGGGAUAGCCCGGCGAAAGCCGGAUUAAUACCGCAUACGACCUGAGGGUGAAAGCGGGGGACCGAAAGGCCUCGCGCUAUUGGAGCGGCCGAUGUCGGAUUAGCUAGUUGGUGGGGUAAAGGCUUACCAAGGCGACGACCCGUAGCUGGUCUGAGAGGACGACCAGCCACACUGGGACUGAGACACGGCCCAGACUCCUACGGGAGGCAGCAGUGGGGAAUUUUGGACAAUGGGGGCAACCCUGAUCCAGCCAUGCCGCGUGCGGGAAGAAGGCCUUCGGGUUGUAAACCGCUUUUGUUCGGGAAGAAAUCCUCUGGGCUAAUACCCCGGGGGGAUGACGGUACCGGAAGAAUAAGCACCGGCUAACUACGUG